ensembl:snRNA U6 U6 spliceosomal RNA
GCGCCUGCUUUGCAGCACAUAUACUAAAAUUAGAGCAAUGCAGAGAAGAUGAGCACAGCCCCUGUGUAAGGACAACACACAGAUUCGUGAAGUGAUCCUUUUUUCC